rnacentral:rRNA from 1 species
AGAGUUUGAUUAUGGCUCAGAACGUACGCUGGCGGCACGCCUAACACAUGCAAGUCGAACGAAGUAGCAAUACUUAGUGGCAGACGGGUGAGUAACAUGUAGGUAUCUGCCCUUUGGCCUGGAAUAACACGAGGAAACUUGUGCUAAUACCGGAUAAGUCUUUACGGAGAAAGCUUUAUGCACCAUUGGAUGAGCCUGCACUUGAUUAGUUUGUUGGUGGGGUAAUGGCCUACCAAGACUGUGAUCAAUAGCUGAUUUGAGAGGAUGAUCAGCCACAUUGGGACUGAGACACGGCCCAAACUCCUACGGGAGGCAGCAGUGGGGAAUCUUGCACAAUGGAGGAAACUCUGAUGCAGCGAUGCCGCGUGAGUGAAGAAGGCCCUUGGGUUGUAAAGCUCUUUCGUCGGGGAAGAAAAUGACUGUACCCGAAUAAGAAGGUCCGGCUAACUUCGUGCCAGCAGCCGCGGUAAUACGAAGGGACCUAGCGUAGUUCGGAAUUACUGGGCUUAAAGAGUUCGUAGGUGGUUGAAAAAGUUAGUGGUGAAAUCCCAGAGCUUAACUCUGGAACUGCCAUUAAAACUUUUCAGCUAGAGUAUGAUAGAGGAAAGCAGAAUUUCUAGUGUAGAGGUGAAAUUCGUAGAUAUUAGAAAGAAUACCAAUUGCGAAGGCAGCUUUCUGGAUCAUUACUGACACUGAGGAACGAAAGCAUGGGUAGCGAAGAGGAUUAGAUACCCUCGUAGUCCAUGCCGUAAACGAUGUGUGUUAGACGUUGGAAAUUUAUUUUCAGUGUCGCAGGGAAACCGAUAAACACACCGCCUGGGGAGUACGACCGCAAGGUUAAAACUCAAAUGAAUUGACGGGGACCCGCACAAGUAGUGGAGCAUGUGGUUUAAUUCGAAGAUACGCGCAGAACCUUACCAACACUUGACAUGUUCGUCGCGACUCUAAGAGAUUAGAGUUUUCGGUUCGGCCGGACGAAACACAGGUGCUGCAUGGCUGUCGUCAGCUCGUGUCGUGAGAUGUUGGGUUAAGUCCCGCAACGAGCGCAACCCUCACUUUUAGUUGCCAUCAUUAAGUUGGGCACUCUGAAAGAACUGCCAGUGAUAAGCUGGAGGAAGGUGGGGAUGACGUCAAGUCCUCAUGGCCCUUACGUGUUGGGCUACACACGUGCUACAAUGGUAUCUACAACAGGAAGCAAGACUGCGAAGUUAAGCAAAUCCCUAAAAGAUACCUCAGUUCGGAUUGCACUCUGCAACUCGAGUGCAUGAAGCUGGAAUUACUAGUAAUCGUGGAUCAGCGUGCCACGGUGAAUGCGUUCCCGGGUCUUGUACACACCGCCCGUCACACCAUGGGAGUUGGUUCUACCUUAAGGCAAGGUUUCAAACCCUUGACCACGGUAUAGUCAGCGACUGGGGUGAAGUCGUAACAAGGUA